GCCAUGCAUGUCUAAGUAUAAAUAACUACACAGUGAAACUGCGAAUGGCUCAUUAGAACAGUUAUAGUUUAUUUGAUACAUUAAAUGGAUAACUGUAGGAAACUAGAGCUAAUACAUGCCUAGGCCGUAAGACUGCAUUUAUUAGAUAUACCAAGACGGUGAAUCAUAAUAACUUAGCGAAUCGAAACAACGUUUCGAUAAAUCAUUCAAGUUUCUGACCUAUCAUGCUCCGCUGGUAGUGUAUUGGACUACCAAGGCAGUCACGGGUAACGGAGAAUUAGGGUUCGAUUCCGGAGAAGGAGCCUGAGAAACGGCUACUACAUCUAAGGAAGGCAGCAGGCGCGUAAAUUACCCAAUCCUAAAUCAGGGAGGUAGUGACAAGAUAUAACAACGUGAUUAAAUGUCGCGAUUGUAGUGAGGGUAUUCUAAAAAUAGCUUCGAGUACGAUUGGAGGGCAAGUCUGGUGCCAGCAGCCGCGGUAAUUCCAGCUCCAAUAGCGUAUAUUAAAGUUGUUGCAGUUAAAAAGCUCGUAGUUGGAUUUCAAGAAACGCAUCUGGGUAACCAGUAUGCUUUCUGCCAGUCUUUGACUGUUACUGUGAGAAAAUUAGAGUGUUUCAAGCAGGCAAUUGCAGGAAUACAUUAGCAUGGAAUAACGAAUGUGUCUACAAUAUGGUUAAUUGUAGAUUACAAUUAAUAGGGACAGUUGGGGGCAUUAGUAUUUAAUUGUCAGAGGUGAAAUUCUUGGAUUUGUUAAAGACUAACGUAUGCGAAAGCAUUUGCCAAGGAUGUUUUCAUUAAUC
rnacentral:rRNA from 1 species